AAUUUUGACAGGUAAUAAUAGCAAGACUCCCAGCUUCUCUUUCGCUUGCGCCUCAAUAUUUUUUUUUUUUUUUCUCUGUGUUUCUCUACGAUACUGAAAUGACGAUCUAAAUGACGGUGAAACGAGAUCUUCACAACGAUGAUGUCGAAACCCUACCGAAUAUGGGUUUGCAGUUUGUAUCUGUACUCUCCAAGCCUACCAGAAAUAGGUCCAACCAGAUCGAUGGCGUCAAAUACUUGAUCGGUGACCUCUGUUUCGAAAAUUGAAGCCCUUGGUCCUCCGUUGAAGCUUGUUCGAGAUUUCAUCCUAUUUUGUACCGAUUGCUGGGGUUGAAACUGAGUCACGAUCAUCAAUACCAGCUCUCGUUGUUCUUCAAUUGCUCUCAAUCGCUACUUAGAUAGUUGGGUUUGAAAGGUUCGUUGACUUUGUUUGCGGUUCAGAUUUUGACAUGUCAGAUUAACUCCCGACUCCAUCGAAGAGGAAGAGGACCAGAAAGUCCACAACUCCAUCGCCACCAAAGCCAUCUGCAAAUCUGCCAAGAAAGCAUAAGCAGAUUUACAUGAGGGGAACAAAGAGAGAUCUCAGUUAUAGGGUGUUAAUUGCCGCUUUAUAAGAGGUUCUAGAAGUCACCUAACUCAGUCGUGAACAAGGCAAGGACUCAAAUUAGGAACAAGCAGCGAAUUUUGUCCCAGAUCCAAGCUAGAUCUAUUCCGCCACUUUUGGAAGGCAAAGAUGUUCUUGGAGCUGCAAGGACAGGUUCUGGAAAGACCCUUGCCUUUUUGAUACCUGCUGUGGAGUUGUUACAUCAAAUCUGAACAGGGGUAAUUGUCAUCUGCCCAACUAGGGAACUUGCCAUACAGGUACCUGAGGAUCCGAGCGAUUAUUUGAACAUACGUAUAAGUCAUGCUUUUGCUCAUGGCAUUUUAUAUGUAUGAUGUCAUGACAAGAAAGACAUGUGGACAACUUCGAUAUUUUGGUGGAGGGCUAAGCAUUGGGUGGUCUAAGGGAAGUGCUUCCAAGGUACGGAUAUGUGGGUGAUGUGUUUAUUGCUUGGUUCAUGUUGAUUGAUCUGAUGUAUAGUUUUGACCAGGGAGGGACCUAAGAUUUUAAGGGAAAUAUAUACUAACAGAACUUUUAAAAUGUAUGGAUUACAACAUAUAUAAUAAGCAUGUUUGCUUGUAUCUACGGUGAGUUAGAAAAAAUUGCAAUUGUAAGACAAUAUUUCUAUUGAAAUGAGGCAUCUUGAGUUGUAUUCCACACACUUUCAUGUCAUUAAAUGAAUCUAUGGUAGAAUAGACAUUAAGAUCCCAAACAAUGUC